rnacentral:rRNA from 1 species
UGAGUAACACUGGGAAUCUACCUCCUCGCAGGGAACAACCUCUCGAAAAGAGAGGCUAAUCCCAAAAGGGUCAGAAAUGAUCAGAGUCGAAAGGCGUGAGGAGAGGAGCCCGCGGCCCAUCAGCUAGUUGGUGAGGUAAUGGCUUACCAAGGCUACGACGGGUAGGGGAUCUGAGAGGAUGUCCCCCACACUGGAACUGAAACACGGUCCAGACGCCUACGGGUGGCAGCAGUGAGGAAUAUUGGACAAUGGGCGAAAAGCCCGAUCCAGCAACGCCGCGUGGAGGAUGAAGGCCUUCGGGUCGUAAACUUCUUUAGAGGGAGACGAGAAAGGACGGUAUCCCUAGAAUAAGCGACGGCAAAUUACGUG